rnacentral:rRNA from 1 species
UACAGAGACCUCAAGCGUUAUCCGGAAUCAUUGGGCGUAAAGCGUACCGAUAGGUGGUUUUACAAGUCAGAGGUGAAAUCCCAAGGCUCAACUUUGGGACUGUCCUUUGAAACUGUACAACUAGAGGGGCAAAGAGGAAGCUGGAACGAACGGUGUAGUAGUGAAAUGCGUUGAUAUCGGAAGGAACACCAGUGGCGAAAGCGGCUUCCUGGUCCAGCACCGACGUUCAGGCACGAAAGCGUGGGGAGCAAACAGG